GCCCGGAUAGCUCAGUCGGUAGAGCAUCAGACUUUUAACCCUGAGGGUCCAGGGUUCAGAACUUCUGAGUGUGUG